AGCAGCCGCGGUAAUUCCAGCUCCAAUAGCGUAUAUUAAAGUUGCUGCAGUUAAAAAGCUCGUAGUUGAAUUUCGGGACUAAUAUGUCGGUCGUGCCUCGGUACGUACUGGCUUAUUGGUUUCUCCUUUCUGAAGAACCAUGAUGUCAUUUAUUUGGUGUCGUGGGGAAUCAGGACUGUUACUUUGAAAAAAUUAGAGUGUUUAAAGCAGGCUCACGCUUGAAUACAUUAGUAUGGAAUAACGAAAUAGGACGUUCGAUCCUAUUUUGUUGGUUUCUAGGAUUGACGUAAUGAUUAAUAGGGAUAGUUGGGGGCAUUAGUAUUCAAUUGUCAGAGGUGAAAUUCUUGGAUUUAUUGAAGACUAACUACUGCGAAAGCAUUUGCCAAGGAUGUUUUCAUUAAUCAAGAACGAAAGUUAGGGGAUCGAAGACGAUCAGAUAGCCGUCGUAGUCUUAACCAUAAACUAUGCCGACUAGGGAUCGG
rnacentral:rRNA from 1 species